UACGUAGGUGGCGAGCGUUAUCCGGAUUUACUGGGCGUAAAGGGUGUGCAGGCGGGGUGACAAGUGGUGUAUGAAAUAUCCCAGCUUAACUGGGAAGGGUUAUGCCAGACUGUCAUUCUAGAGUGCGAGAGAGGGACGUGGAAUUCCUGGUGUAGCGGUGAAAUGCGUAGAUAUCUGGAGGAACACCGGUGGCGAAGGCGGCAUCCUGGACCGGUAUUGACGCUGAUGCGCGAAAGCCAGGGGAGCAAACGGG
rnacentral:rRNA from 1 species